rnacentral:piRNA from 1 species
UGAUGGCAAUAAAGGGUUGAAAGC